UAAAACCCGGAUAUUACGAACAACAGUUUAAAAUUCAAAGAACUUGGCGGUGUCUUAUAAAACCAGGGGAACCUGUCUCAUAACUCGAUAGCCCACGAUUAAUUCAGCCCUCCCUUGAAUACCAGCCUGUGUACUGCCGUUGUAAGCACACCUCUAAAAGUAGUGUGCUACUAUGAUUGAACACAGUAAUAAAGCACAAACUCAUAGACAUCAGGUCAAAGUGCAGCCAAUGAGAGGGUGAUGAUGGGUUACAACCUAAAAAAAGAAAUGGAAUAAAAGCUAAAAAAAUUUAUAAAAGUGGACUUGGCCGUAAUUUAAUAAUAUCAUAGAAAAAUGAAUGCUCCUCUAAGACAUGUACACAUCGCCCG
rnacentral:rRNA from 1 species